rnacentral:rRNA from 1 species
CGUCUUCAGCGAUGGAUCUCUUGGGUCGCGCAACGAUGAAGGACGAAAUGAAACGCGAAACGAAUCGAAACUGCGAAAUUCAGGAAAAUAACUGAUUUCUGAAGGCACGUGGCGUUACUGGGGCAUUCCUUGCAGCACGUCACCCCCAU